rnacentral:rRNA from 1 species
AUUGAACGCUGGCGGAAUGCUUUACACAUGCAAGUCGAACGGCAGCACGGGGCAACCUGGUGGCGAGUGGCGAACGGGUGAGUAAUACAUCGGAACGUGCCCAAUCGUGGGGGAUAACGUAGCGAAAGUUACGCUAAUACCGCAUACGAUCUACGGAUGAAAGCGGGGAUCGCAAGACCUCGCGCGAGUGGAGCGGCCGAUGUCAGAUUAGGUAGUUGGUGGGGUAAAGGCUCGCCAAGCCAACGAUCUGUAGCUGGUCUGAGAGGACGACCAGCCACACUGGAACUGAGACACGGUCCAGACUCCUACGGGAGGCAGCAGUGGGGAAUUUUGGACAAUGGGCGCAAGCCUGACCCAGCCAUUCCGCGUGCAGGAUGAAGGCCUCGGUUGUAAACUGCUUUGUACGGAACGAAACGGACGAGCUCUAAUACAGUUUGCUAAUGACGGUACCGUAAGAAUAAGCACCGGCUAACUACGUGCCA